UUAGAUUUUAUUUAUUAAUUUUGUAAGUUUUUGUUUAAAAUAUUAAAAAUAAUUAUAUAAUAAAAAGUUUUAGUAUUGUUUAAAGAAAAAAUAAUUUUAAUAAUAGUUUAAUAGUAUUGUAAAAGAAAA
rnacentral:rRNA from 1 species